rnacentral:lncRNA from 1 species
GCUUUCCUUUUCCGGUGGUGGCCCCGCGGGGUGAGGAGCUCGUGUUCAUACUUGUAGCUAUGGUGUCCAAGGGUCCGCUGCAGUCCGUGCAAGUCUUCGGAUGCAAGAAAACAGCCACAGCUGUGGCCCACUGCAAACGAGGAAAUGGGCUCAUCAAGGUGAAUGGCCGUCCCCUGGAGAUGAUCGAGCCGCGCACUGCUACAGUACAAGUUACUGGAGCCUGUUUUGCUUCUGGGCAAGGAGAGAUUUCCUGGUGUGGAUAUCCGGGUCCGUGUGAAGGGUGGUGGUCAUGUGGCCCAAAUUUAUGCUAUCCGGCAGUCCAUCUCAAAAGCUCUGGUGGCUUAUUACCGAAAAUAUGUUGAUGAAGCCUCUAAGAAGGAGAUCAAAGAUAUCCUCAUCCAGUACGAUCGGGCCCUGCUUGUAGCUGACUCCUGUCACUGGGAAUCCAAAAAGUUUGGCGGUCCCGGUGCCGGUGCCUGGUACCAGAAAUCCUACCCAUAAGCCAGUCUCAAGGAUCAGGGUUUACCUUUGUAAUAAACAUCCUAGGGCUUUAA